rnacentral:rRNA from 1 species
GAAUUCGAUUCAGGCCUAACACAUGCAAGUCGAACGGUAACAGGUCUUCGGAUGCUGACGAGUGGCGAACGGGUGAGUAAUACAUCGGAACGUGCCCGAGAGUGGGGGAUAACGAAGCGAAAGCUUUGCUAAUACCGCAUACGAUCUCAGGAUGAAAGCAGGGGACCGCAAGGCCUUGCGCUCACGGAGCGGCCGAUGGCAGAUUAGGUAGUUGGUGGGAUAAAAGCUUACCAAGCCGACGAUCUGUAGCUGGUCUGAGAGGACGACCAGCCACACUGGGACUGAGACACGGCCCAGACUCCUACGGGAGGCAGCAGUGGGGAAUUUUGGACAAUGGGCGCAAGCCUGAUCCAUCCAAGAGGCGUGCAGGAUGAAGGCCUUCGGGUGUA